rnacentral:rRNA from 1 species
GUCGAGGGGCAGCAUGGGGGAGUAGCAAUACUCUCUGAUGGCGACCGGCGCAAGGGUGCGUAACGCGUGAGCAACUUGCCCUCAUCAGGGGAAUAAUCGCUGGAAACGGCGUCUAAUGCCCCAUGGUGAUGUCCUCAGGCAUCUGAGGUCAUCUAAAGAUCCGUCGGAUGGGGAUAGGCUCGCGUGACAUUAGCUAGACGGCGGGGUAACGGCCCACCGUGGCGACGAUGUCUAGGGGUUCUGAGAGGAAGGUCCCCCACACUGGAACUGAGACACGGUCCAGACUCCUACGGGAGGCAGCAGUGAGGAAUAUUGGUCAAUGGGCGAGAGCCUGAACCAGCCAAGUCGCGUGAAGGAUGACGGCCCUACGGGUUGUAAACUUCUUUUGUCAGGGAGCAAUUGGGUCCACGCGUGGGCUUAGCGAGAGUACCUGAAGAAAAAGCAUCGGCUAACUCCGUGCCAGCAGCCGCGGUAAUACGGAGGAUGCGAGCGUUAUCCGGAUUUAUUGGGUUUAAAGGGUGCGUAGGCGGAAUAUCAAGUCAGCGGUAAAAAUUCGGGGCUCAACCCCGUCGUGCCGUUGAAACUGAUGUUCUUGAGUGGGCGAGAAGUAUGCGGAAUGCGUGGUGUAGCGGUGAAAUGCAUAGAUAUCACGCAGAACUCCGAUUGCGAAGGCAGCAUACCGGCGCCCAACUGACGCUGAAGCACGAAAGCGUGGGUAUCGAACAGGAUUAGAUACCCUGGUAGUCCACGCAGUAAACGAUGAAUGCUGGUUGUCCGGGUCGAAUGAGACCUGNGCGGCGAAGCGAAAGCGAU